AAGCGUUUAUGACCAGACUUGGACUUGGUUGAUCAUCCGGUGUUCUCACCGGUGCACUCGGCUAGUUCAGGCCAGCAUCAGUUCGUCGCGGGGGAUAAAGGCAGCGGGAACGUGGCUCCCUCGGGAGUGUUAUAGCCCGUUGUGUAAUGCCCUGCCUCGGACUGAGGUUCGCGCUUCCGCAAGGAUGCUGGCGUAAUGGUCAUCAACGA
rnacentral:rRNA from 1 species